GGGCGCAUGCGCACCUUUUGGCGGGAAGAAGACCCCUCCCCCAUCCUUGCCGUCCCAACUGCCUGCCUUGGCGAAGGGGAGGGACAGCCAAGCCACUCCCGCCAGAAACCCUGAGCCCAGCUGCAGUACGGGGCGGGGCAUGGCGUCCCCACAUUCCACGGGAACACCUGAGUGGCACCCGCGGUGGCGGCUUCCGCCCUCCGACUGGGCUGGGUGCGGUGCUGCUCGGGCCCAGCUGCCGAGUCAGUUGUUUAUUGCAAAUGUAACAGAAUUUAUCAUGGUCUGUGCACAUGGGUGAGAAGAAGAAUUUCCAGACUCAGGAAAAUGAAAAGAAAAAGGAGUUUAAGAUGAGAGGUGCUGCAAUUGCAGAAGGAUGACUUCCUGAUUAUCAGGGAAAGCCAAAUCUGGUGCGUGGUCAUGUCUGUUUUCGUAGUCCAGGUUGAAGUCCCACAGAAUUCAGUUAACUUUUCUGUAUGAAUUUCUUACCUAUUAUUUGCCGGGCUUUUUCACUGGUUGAAAUAAUUUAUCUUUAGAUUCUUUUGGCUUUUGUAUGCAGAGAAGCAUAAUAUCUGAAAAAUAAUUAAUUUCCCUGAAAAUUAAUUAAUGCUCUUUUUCAGGUAAGGAAAUGCUUUUUCCCCCCAUUUUCCAAGAAUUUGGGUCCUGAUCAGAGGUGUUUCAUGUCUUCCUCCCCUGAUGCCCCCCUGGGAUUGUCAGAGUCUGAGCCUCCACCCUUGAGGACACGGGACUCUUGCACAGAUUCGGGUUAAGAGGUGUGGGCAGGGGUAGCCCCCAGGAGAGGAAUAAUGACUUCCUGACCUUAAUUUCAUCAUCCUCAGGAAGCCUUUGACUUUGGGUGGAUUGAUUCUUGGUUUUGCAGUAAUGUUAGAUGAGUGAGCCAUGUCCUCCUGAAGCAUCUGGGAGCUCUGUCUACAUUCAUUGUCCAGAAUCUCUUAAAUUAAUGCAGGAAGAAAACUAAAAGGUAGUCCCAUUUGUGGAAAUAGCUCAGACAGGAGCUCCCCAGGGCCCCAGCUGGAAACCAAGCUGCUUUCUCCAGAACCAGGGAAGGCAGAGACUGAGGCCAUCUUGAGUCUGGACAAGGAAGUAGGGGGGUCACUCCUGUUGCACACCCAUUCCCAAGGGAAUCCUGCAGCAUGGAGGGGAAGAAGGUUCAUCUCAUGAACAUCCAAACACCAGGCUUUCUGCUCAUCUACCCAAAACCUGUCUC
rnacentral:lncRNA from 1 species